rnacentral:rRNA from 1 species
GACGAACGCUGGCGGCGUGCCUAACACAUGCAAGUCGAACGGGACCGCAAGGUUCAGUGGCGGACGGGUGCGUAACACGUGAGGAACAUAGCCAACGGCGGGGGAUAGCCGGCCCAACGGCCGGGUAAUACCGCGCACGACCUUUGGGGGGCGAUCCCCUGGAGGUGAAAGCAGCAAUGCGCCGAUGGGGUGCCUCGCGGCCUAUCAGCUAGUUGGUGAGGUAACGGCUCACCAAGGCACGACGGGUAGCUGGUCCGAGAGGAUGAUCAGCCACACUGGGACUGAGACACGGCCCAGACUCCUACGGGAGGCAGCAGGUGGGGAAUAUUGGACAAUGGGCGAAAGCCUGAUCCAGCCAUGCCGCGUGAGUGAAGAA